AUGCACUCCAUGUUUGUUUCUAUUGAACUUCAGAAAAAAAAAAGUUUUGUUUGGUGUUAUAGAUUGAUAGACGCCAGCAUGAACGUCACCUUAUUUUUCUUGCAUAAUAUUGAAUGAUGAUUGUAUUUACUUUCUGUUCACUGAAUGAUUUGAACAGGCUCUCUUCGGAAGGGCAAGAUUUUUUUACAUCGUAUGAUGAGGUUCACGAAAGUUUUGAUGCUAUGAAUCUUAGGGAGAACCUACUGAGGGGAAUCUACGCAUAUGGUAGAUCAUACUUUUUUCUUUUGUUACAAUUGUUCCGAUUUUAGAUAUUGAAACUAUGAUCUUUACUUUAUUUUGCAAUUUUGAUCGAUUAGUCGCAUUUUUUCAACCAUUUAGUUGACACAUGAGUGAUAAAGGUCAUUAUGGUAAAUGUCCAAGCUUUAAUUUUUUUGUAGUACAUCAUGUGGUUAUUGUCUGCGUUGAUUGAUAGGAUAUGUUUAUUUGGUAAUUACUUCAAUUAUUUCGGAGAGGUCACCUGAUUGAGUGUGUGAUUUCUGCUCAGUUAGAAGCUUAAAAUAGGAAUCUGAUGAUGCAUUGUGGCAUGGCGCCAUAUUUUUUAUUAUUAGUAUAUGUUCUGUUAAUAAAGUUGUAAAAUCUGAAAUUUUGUUUUCGUUUGAAGGAUUUGAGAAGCCUUCUGCGAUUCAACAGAGGGGAAUUGUGCCCUUCACCAAGGGACUUGAUGUAAUUCAACAAGCGCAGUCUGGAACUGGGAAGACAGCAACUUUCUGCUCAGGGAUUUUACAGCAGCUUGAUUUUGAAUUGGUUGAAUGUCAAGCCUUGGUUCUGGCACCUACUCGUGAGCUUGCACAACAGAUUGAGAAGGUUAUGCGGGCACUUGGUGAUUAUCUGAGCGUGAAAGUUCAUGCUUGUGUGGGUGGAACAAGUGUUCGUGAGGAUCAGCACAUUCUUUCAAAUGGUGUUCACGUAGUUGUUGGGACACCUGGUCGUGUUUUUGACAUGUUGAGGAGAAAGUCACUCCGCGCGGAUUACAUUAAAAUGUUUGUAUUGGAUGAGGCUGAUGAGAUGCUUUCACGAGGUUUCAAGGACCAGGUUUGUUCUUAAUUCCAGAAUUGAUAAUUUCCUAUUAGAAAGUAAAUGGAUUUUUUGCUGGCGGAGUUUUUGUUGCGGUCAUAAGCAUGCAACCUGAUUAGCGUUAAGUUUAGUCAGGGUCAAUUAAAACAAGGUUAUUUAAUAUGGUAGGAGAUUGUGUUGCUCCUGUCACUCAAAUUUUCUUCCCACAUUACCGAGUUAAAUUAUUCAUCCAAUAUGAAAGUAGAAUACCAAGAAGACCUCAUGUAGAGAAAAAAAAAAAAUAGGGGUACUAGUUGAGGUGGACAGAACAGGAUUGGCUUUUAAUUGACAGGAAAGUGUUGAUCUUGAGGUGGGAAUACUCAUUCAGAGUUCAACUGGAUUCAUAUGUUCUUAUGCAUGAAAUGGUGAAAGACUCAGAGACUGCAGUAGCUAGAUAAGGGCUUCAUUAGAGUAUGAUCUGAUGUGUAUGGUGACAAGAUCAAGUGAAUAGGGGGACACAGUUUCUACAAGUUUUUAGAGUCGAAAAUUGCAUUGCUUCUGAGUGUGGGAUUGUGUACCUGGUGGUGCGUUUACCAUGCUGAUCAGGAUAUUAUUGGUUUUUUCAUGGAAAGUAAUAAAAAAUUAACUAUCUAAAGAAAAAUAUCUACCUUUGAAGGCAACAAGUCAUUGGCAAGUUGAAGAAUCAUAGCUGAGCAGUAUAUUAGACUAGCUAAGGUCUCUAUGCCUUCCAUUGCUUCUUUUAUUAACUUCUUGGUACUUGAGAAGUAACAGUUUGUGAGCCCUAUAUGUGCUGCAACUGAAUACACUGCUUUGUCAAAAUACUCUUUUGAUGUUAGUGAAUAUUCUUGACGACUCCAUUUCACCUCCAACAAAUACGCAUCACAUAGUUCCACCCACUAAGAUCAUAAAAAAAGAAAAAGAAAAUCAGUAAUCAAAUUUUAGUAAUGCGAAAAUACCUUAAAAACAGGGGAUAGGGCAAAAGUGUGACAAAUAUAGCUUUCUUUUGGUGAGAUGUGAUACCGUAACUUUGGUCUGUUAAGACCAUUUCCUAUUAGAACCUAAACAUGUGUUAUUACGAAAAAAUUGAAAGAACUAAAAUAUAGAGCUAAUAGCAGUUAAUAACUCUCAGAGUAACCUUAUUGUGUUUGUGAAUAGCGGUGUAGGGUAGUGUUUUAUCCUGUUAAUAACUUCAAGGUGUUGACAUUGGUGGUUCAAGGUGUUGACAUUUUAUAAAACGAAUUUGCUAUGAUGUUUAAAGUUACAUUGCUUUCAUAUCAAACACAACUUUGUUAUAUUUUUUAAUUAUUCAUGUUUCUUUGUUUUUACCUGCCUAGUUUAAAUGAUCAUGCUAGUUAUCAGCUUUCUGUUCUAGUCAGUUGUUCUAAAUGUUUGUAUUUCUUGCUUUUAGAUCUACGACAUUUUUCAGCUUCUUCCUGCAAAAGUUCAGGUUGGUGUUUUCUCAGCAACAAUGCCUCCAGAAGCUCUUGAGAUCACAAGGAAGUUCAUGAACAAGCCUGUAAGGAUUCUAGUGAAGCGUGACGAGCUCACCCUUGAGGGUAUCAAGCAGUUCUAUGUCAAUGUUGACAAAGAAGAAUUUAAGCUCGAAACACUCUGUGAUCUCUAUGAGACAUUAGCCAUCACCCAGAGUGUCAUUUUUGUGAAUACUCGUCGGAAGGUUGACUGGCUUACUGACAAGAUGCGUGGUCGUGAUCAUACAGUCUCUGCCACCCAUGGAGACAUGGACCAGAACACAAGGGACAUCAUCAUGCGAGAAUUCCGGUCUGGGUCCUCUCGCGUGCUCAUCACCACUGACCUCUUGGCCCGUGGUAUUGAUGUUCAGCAAGUAUCCUUGGUAAUCAACUUUGAUCUUCCUACUCAACCAGAAAACUAUCUCCAUCGUAUUGGUCGUAGUGGACGUUUUGGAAGAAAAGGUGUUGCCAUCAACUUUGUGACUCGGGAUGAUGAGAGGAUGUUGUAUGAUAUCCAGAAAUUCUAUAACGUGCAGAUUGAGGAGCUUCCAUCCAACGUUGGUGAUCUUCUUUAAAGAGGUUUUUUUAUUGGUAUAUCUGAGGGCCUUUUUCUACUGAAGUACUAUUUCUUUUGUUUUUCUUGAGUAGUUAGUUUUGGAAUUAGCAUCUUUGGAGAACUUCUUUGACUGUCAGUAUGACUGACAUUAGCAAUGAGAAAAAUCAUUCAUUGCUCAUUUUGAAUAUUGGUAAACAUCAGUGGCUGCAAAUUUUGUCCAUUUAGUGAUAUGUAAUCUACACCUCCAAUAUCAAAGUGGUGAUGCCUUUUGUUCUCCCUUGAUUAAUAAUAGCUUAUGUUUCCCUUAGUUACAUUGCAGGUUUUCUAAUAAGAAUAACAAAUCAUGCUGCCUCUUUUUGCUGGUUUGGAUAGCCUACUGGCUUGACUUGAUUUACCAGUGAUCAAAUGUUUCAUACUUUCAUGUGACAUACCUUGUACCAGUAAUAUCCUUCAUGGUGCAAAUUGCUAGUAAUUUUUUGUCCUGUGUUCUUUUUUUCUUAGACACAUCAAGAUGAGCCUUCGUUACUAUUGUGGUGUGUCAGCUCUUUCUUUCAUCCUUUACACAUUCACAUCUCAAUGGUUUAGCCCUGUAACUGUGGCACAACUCUGUUCACUAACACAAUUUGACAGGUGAAAAUCAAGUAGCCAAGUAUAUAUUUUCAGUUUUGCCUGAGACCCACUUAACAUCAGUUCUUAAAAGAGAAAAUAGCCAUUUUGGUCCACAAACUUUCACAUAAUUUUCAUUUUGGUCCACAAAGUUUCAUUUGGUCAAUUUGGUUCGCAAACUUUCAUUAUAAGUUGCAAUUUGGUCUCAAAUCUCGUCAACUUUUAUUAAUUUUGCGGACCAAAUUGACCAACAAAGUGAAAGUUUGCGGACCAAAUUGACCAAAUGAAACUUUGUGGACCAAAAUGAAAAUUUUAUGAAAGUUAGUGGACCAAAAUUGCAAAUCAAAGUAGCCAAGUACUCAAGUAGGUAUAUGUUGUUGUCUCCCAGGUUUAACAUUUUGUAAUUUGUAAAAUGGAACUGGUGCUUGUUCUGAUCAGCCUAUAUGAAAUUCUUGUUGUUUUAUAUUUAAAAAGUACUUGAGAAAUUUUUUUAUUGAAAACUGGAAGAAAUUCAACAGUAAGGUGAAGAGAGGAAGCACUGCCAAAAGAACUUCUUACUUCUUCUUUGCACGCAGUGAGGAAGAGAGAGAAGCAAAGAAAGACGAGGAGGGCACAUUUUUUUUGCUGAUGUGGCUAAGGUGGUUGUCGCUAUAGAAUUACUUUUACCAACUGAAUUCCUAAACAAGUGUGGCUGCACUGGGAAAAAAUAUAUUAACAGGGCCGGUGUAAAUUAAAAUAGUAACAGGGGUAAAUAAGGGAAAUUGUAGAAAUUUGGGGCGGCAAAAAUCGUAUAUAUACCGAACCCUGCUUAAUUCCACGGCUCCAACUAAACCUUAAACAAAGUUUUCUACUGCACUUUCUUUUCCAAGCGAUCUUUAAUUAUCAGGUCGUUAGUUUAUUCUUUAAAUUUUGUUUUCUUCUCUCAAUAAUCAAUAUAAUUAGCUAUACUACAGAGUACAGAAUCUCUUUUCUUCUUUGUUGAGAGAGAUUUGUUUUGUUUUAUAUAACCAUGCAAUGUUUCUUGUUAUAAAUCUUGCUUUUGUGAGGGUUUUAGGAGAGAUUAUUUUUAUAGAUAUUUUGUUUUAUAUUUUUAAUAGGAACUAGAUUUUAAUUCUUUUGUAUUGUUUACUGCUUUUUCAUGCAUGAAUCAUCUUCUUCAUCCAUUCAUAAUGUGAGAUUUCUUGUUGGUUUCAUGUAUUCAUGUAUGCUUCUUUAUGGCAUGUUUCUUAAUUAUUGUUUCUAGUAUUUUUCACAAUCUUCGUACACCGGCCUGUAUAUGCGUUUGUGUUUUUAUUUUUUAUUUGUACUACUAUUUAUAUAAGACUUUUUGGCUGCAGUCAUGGCGGGAAUGGCAGAGGAAGGAUUACAAUUUAAUGCGCAACGUUAGGAUAGAAGAAUGACUGAAGUGUUAGUUCCAUUGCUUCUUUUAAAUUAAUGGUGUUUUUCAAAAAGUUCAGAUUUUAUCAUAUACACUGCAUGUUUGUUUCUAUUGAACUUAAAAAAUUAUUUGUUUGGUGUUAUUGAUUUGUAGUGAUAAACACCAGCAUGAAGGUCACAUUUAUUUUGCUUGCAUUAUAUAUAAACUGAUGAUUGUAUUUACUUUCUGUUAACUAAAUGAUUUGAACAGGCUCUCUUCGGAAGGGCAAGAGUUUUUUACAUCGUAUGAUGAGAUUCACAAAAGUUUUGAUGCUAUGAAUCUUAGCGAGAACCUACUGAGGGGAAUCUA
rnacentral:lncRNA from 1 species